UACUGGUCAGGAUUCCACCUUCAGCUGAAGGGAAGUAUGUAAAAAAAAAAAACCAAAAAGGUAAAAAAGAAUGUAAUCAUACACCUCUCACCAUUGAUGCCCCGGAUGAAAUCAGGAUUUUAUCUACAAGAGAAUGAAUUAUUACUCAACAUGUAACAUCUGCCUUAUGUGUAUGACCCUAAGAAAUUCACUAUGGCAACAACCUGAGAGAACAUUGAAACGGUCAUCCUAUUGGAUCCAAAAAAGAAAAGGACCGCUAAACAGAGAGGUGAAAGAUCUCGCCCAGGAUCACACAGCUAACCAGUGACGUGAGCUGGGAUUUCAUUCUUGGGGUCUGAUUCCAAAACAUACUUUAGACAAUGAAGUUCUGUGUAAUUCCACAUUUCAGCUGAUUCGGGGUGCUUGAAAUCUGCUUCAGAGUGACGGAGAACAUAGCUCAUCUCAGAA